rnacentral:rRNA from 1 species
UACGAAGGGGGCUAGCGUUGCUCGGAAUCACUGGGCGUAAAGCGCACGUAGGCGGAUUGUUAAGUCAGGGGUGAAAUCCUGGAGCUCAACUCCAGAACUGCCUUUGAUACUGAGGAUCUUGAGUUCGGGAGAGGUGAGUGGAACUCCGAGUGUAGAGGUGAAAUUCGUAGAUAUUCGGAAGAACACCAGUGGCGAAGGCGACUCACUGGCCCGAUACUGACGCUGAGGCGCGAAAGCGUGGGGAGCAAACAGG